AGCGAACGCUGGCGGCAGGCCUAACACAUGCAAGUCGAGCGCCCCGCAAGGGGAGCGGCAGACGGGAGAGUAACACGUGGGAACAUGCCCUUCAGUACGGGACAACCAAGGGAAACUUUGGCUAAUACCGUAUACGCCCGUAAGGGGAAAGAUUUAUCGCUGAAGGAUUGGCCCGCGUCUGAUUAGCUAGUUGGUGGGGUAAUGGCCCACCAAGGCGACGAUCAGUAGCUGGUCUGAGAGGAUGAUCAGCCUCACUGGGACUGAGACACGGCCCAGACUCCUACGGGAGGCAGCAGUGGGGAAUAUUGGACAAUGGGCGCAAGCCUGAUCCAGCCAUGCCGCGUGAGUGAUGAAGGCCUUAGGGUUGUAAAGCUCUUUCGUCAGGGAAGAUAAUGACGGUACCUGAAGAAGAAGCCCCGGCUAACUUCGUGCCAGCAGCCGCCGCGG
rnacentral:rRNA from 1 species